CCAAUAGCGUAUAUUAAAGUUGUUGCAGUUAAAAAGCUCGUAGUUGAAUUUCGGGGUCAGUAGGCUGGUCGUGCCACAGGUAUGUACUGGUCUUACUGAUUCCUCCUUCCUGAUGAACCGUAAUGCCAUUAAUUUGGUGUUGCGGGGAAUCUGGACUGUUACUUUGAAAAAAUUAGAGUGUUUAAAGCAGGCUAACGCUUGAAUACAUUAGCAUGGAAUAAUGAAAUAGGACGAUCGAUCCUAUUUUGUUGGUUUCUAGGAUUGACGUAAUGAUUAAUAGGGAUAGUUGGGGGCAUUAGUAUUCAAUUGUCAGAGGUGAAAUUCUUGGAUUUAUUGAAGACUAACUACUGCGAAAGCAUUUGCCAAGGAUGUUUUCAUUAAUCAAGAACGAAAGUUAGGGGAUCGAAGACGAUCAGAUACCGUCGUAGUCUUAACCAUAAACUAUGCCGACUAGGGAUCGGAUGAUGUUAAUUUUUUAAUGACUCAUUCGGCGCCUUACG
rnacentral:rRNA from 1 species